GGGGGUAUAGCUCAGUUGGUAGAGUGCUGCCUCCUGUGCAUAGGCCCUGGGCUCAAUCCCCAGCACUGCAG
rnacentral:tRNA from 1 species